UACGUAGGGUGCGAGCGUUAAUCGGAAUUACUGGGCGUAAAGCGUGCGCAGGCGGUUUGUUAAGACAGAUGUGAAAUCCCCCGGGCUUAACCUGGGAACUGCAUUUGUGACUGGCAAGCUAGAGUAUGGCAGAGGGGGGUAGAAUUCCACGUGUAGCAGUGAAAUGCGUAGAGAUGUGGAGGAAUACCGAUGGCGAAGGCAGCCCCCUGGGCCAAUACUGACGCUCAUGCACGAAAGCGUGGGGGAGCAAACAGA
rnacentral:rRNA from 1 species